AUUGAACGCUGGCGGCAGGCCUAACACAUGCAAGUCGAGCGGUAACAGGAGAAGCUUGCUUCUCGCUGACGAGCGGCGGACGGGUGAGUAAUGUAUGGGGAUCUGCCCGAUAGAGGGGGAUAACCACUGGAAACGGUGGCUAAUACCGCAUAAUCUCUAAGGAGCAAAGCAGGGGGACUUCGGUCCUUGCGCUAUCGGAUGAACCCAUAUGGGAUUAG
rnacentral:rRNA from 1 species